UUACGGGAGGCAGCAGUUGGGAAUCUUGGACAAUGGGGGAAACCCUGAUCCAGCCAUGCCGCGUGAGUGAUGAAGGCCUUAGGGUUGUAAAGCUCUUUUACCCGGGAAGAUAAUGACUGUACCGGGAGAAUAAGCUCCGGCUAACUUCGUGCCAGCAGCCGCGGUAAUACGAAGGGGGCUAGCGUUGUUCGGAAUUACUGGGCGUAAAGCGUGCGCAGGCGGUCUCUCAAGUCAGGGGUGAAAGCCCAGAGCUCAACUCUGGAAAUGCCCUUGAAACUGUGAGGCUCGAGUGCGGGAGAGGUGAGUGGAAUUCCCAGUGUAGAGGUGAAAUUCGUAGAUAUUGGGAAGAACACCGGUGGCGAAGGCGGCUCACUGGCCCGUUUCUGACGCUCAUGCACGAUAGCGUGGGGAUCAAACAGGAUUAGAUACCCGUGUAGUCCA
rnacentral:rRNA from 1 species